GACGGGGCCCGCACAAGCGGUGGAGCAUGUGGUUUAAUUCGACGCAACGCGAAGAACCUUACCAGGGCUUGACAUCCCCUGACCGCGUAUGAAAGUACGUUUUCACCCUCGGGUGACAGGGAGACAGGUGGUGCAUGGUUGUCGUCAGCUCGUGUCGUGAGAUGUUGGGUUAAGUCCCGCAACGAGCGCAACCCCUACGUUUAGUUGCUAACGCGUGAAGGCGAGCACUCUAGACGAACUGCCGUUGACAAACGGAGGAAGGUGGGGAUGACGUCAAAUCAUCAUGCCCCUUAUGACCUGGGCUACACACGUGCUACAAUGGUUGGUACAACGAGUUGCGAGUCGGUGACGGCGAGCUAAUCUCUUAAAGCCAAUCUCAGUUCGGAUUGUAGGCUGCAACUCGCCUACAUGAAGUCGGAAUCGCUAGUAAUCGCGGAUCAGCACGCCGCGGUGAAUACGUUCCCGGGCCUU
rnacentral:rRNA from 1 species